rnacentral:rRNA from 1 species
UACGAAGGGGGCUAGCGUUGCUCGGAAUCACUGGGCGUAAAGGGUGCGUAGGCGGGUCUUUUAAGUCAGGGGUGAAAUCCUGGAGCUCAACUCCAGAACUGCCUUUGAUACUGAAGAUCUUGAGUCCGGGAGAGGUGAGUGGAACUGCGAGUGUAGAGGUGAAAUUCGUAGAUAUUCGCAAGAACACCAGUGGCGAAGGCGGCUCACUGGCCCGGUACUGACGCUGAGGCGCGAAAGCGUGGGGAGCAAACAGG